rnacentral:ncRNA from 1 species
CGUAACGACUUGGGCGCUGUCUCAACAGGGGACUCGGUGAAAUUGUAAUAUGCGUGAAGAUGCGCAUUACCCGCGGCUAGACGGAAAGACCCCGUGGAGCUUUACUGCAGCCUGAGAUUGGGCUUUGGUACAGGAUGUAUAGGAUAGGUGGGAGGCUGAGAAGCCGGGACGCCAGUCUCGGUGGAGCCGCCAGUGGAAUACCACCCUUCCCGUGCUGAAGUUCUAACCACGACCCGUGACCCGGGUCUGGGACAGUCUCUGGUGGGCAGUUUGACUGGGGCGGUUGCCUCCUAAAAGGUAACGGAGGCGCCCAAAGGUUCCCUCAGCGCGGUCGGAAAUCGCGCGUGGAGUGCAAAGGCAGAAGGGAGCUUGACUGCGAGACCGACAGGUCGAGCAGGGACGAAAGUCGGGCUUAGUGAUCCGGUGGUUCCGCGUGGAAGGGCCAUCGCUCAUCGGAUAAAAGCUACCCCGGGGAUAACAGGCUGAUCUCCCCCAAGAGUCCACAUCGACGGGGAGGUUUGGCACCUCGAUGUCGGCCCAUCGCAUCCUGGGGCCGGAGUCGGUCCCAAGGGUUGGGCUGUUCGCCCAUUAAAGCGGUACGCGAGCUGGGUUCAGAACGUCGUGAGACAGUUCGGUCCCUAUCUGCCGCGGGCGCAGGAGAUCUGAGAGGACUCGCCCCUAGUACGAGAGGACCGGGGUGAACGCACCGCUGGUGUACCAGUUGUCCCGCCAGGGGCACGGCUGGAUAGCCAUGUGCGGCCGGGAUAAGCGCUGAAAGCAUCUAAGCGCGAAACCCCCCUCAAGAUGAGAUCUCCCACCGCCUCCGAGCGGGUAAGACCCCUCGUAGAUGACGAGGUCGAUAGGCCGGAAGUGUAAGGACAGCAAUGUCCUGAGCUCACCGGUACUAAUCGGUCGAGGGCUUGACCUC